rnacentral:lncRNA from 1 species
GAGAGAGAGAGAGAGAGAGCAUUAGGAUACCUUGAAUGGGAGAGAGCUUCUGUGCUCCCAAGGGUUUGAGGAGCAGGGACAAAUGGUAGCAGUAGGGUGUGAGGUAAGAGAAUAUCUAGAUAGAGGAGAGGGAAUACGCAAAGAGCUUGGCCAUAGAGACAGAGCGGGCGGAGAGCACGCAGAGACAGAGCAGGAGCUGACAAAUUUGUAUUAAAAUAUGUUUUAAACGUUUAAAGCAACUCCCCCGCAGGAUCCAAUCCUGGCCCUCCAUUCCAAUGCUUAAAUCAGC